UUGCAUUUGAAGCCCAUGAGGAUGAGAACCUCCGGGGGCGGGGAGGUUCGACUCGAGCGAAGCGAGAGAACGUUGCGCCAGCAACGGCCCGCAGGG
rnacentral:sRNA from 1 species